AUUUUCCGGGAAAAAAUUAAUUGUAUUGUGUGGAAAUGAAUUCAGUGAAGAUUUUGGCUUUCCCAUUUCUGAGUUUGUUGAUCAUUGCAAUUUCUCACAUGGCCCAUGCUCAAGACUUGGCUCUCUCUCCUUCACCUCCUCCCACUAGUGAUGGCACUGCUGUUGAUCAAGGAAUUGCUUACCUUCUUAUGGUGGUGGCUCUGGCAAUCACAUACAUGAUCCAUUAAUUUUCUUUAAUUAAUUAAUAGAUACUAGUAAUAGAUUAGCCAUAUUCUUUCAUUUACUUUUUCUCUCUUAAUAUUAGGGUGAGGAAAUUCCAGAGUUAAUGUACUGUAAUUAUAUUAUUGACGAAAUUUAGUAAUAUAUAAUAUGAUUUAAUUGUGUGA